AUAGCCUGGCGAAAUUUGCAAUUUUCAGUCAUUUUGUAUUACAAACGGGAAAUUAAUGCCCCAACACCCGACUGGGCUGUCAAUUUCCCGUGCGUAAUACAAAAUGACUGAAAAACGGCAAACUUCGCAAGGCUAUAUUAUCCGCGUUUUACAACAUUUAGCAACGAAGCUUCGGAAUAUUACUAAUUUUGUGAUGCUCUUUCAAGCUGUG